rfam:Pseudomassariella vexata strain CBS 129021 BCR38scaffold_1, whole genome shotgun sequence.
GGCAAGAUGGCCGAGCGGUCUAAGGCGUCCGACUCAAGAGCAAUCUUUCUGUUCUCAGAACAGGGUGUUCGGAUCUCGAAAGGGGCGUGGGUUCAAAUCCCACUCUUGUCA